UUCGUUUAAGUUAACUUUAAAAAAAAUGAAAUACGCAUUAAUUAUAAUAAUGUUCACAACGAUUGCUUUAUUGUCUGCUUCUCUCGAAAGAGUAUAUGGUAAUCGUAGACUCGGUUAUGGAUGUUAUAAAGAACAAUGCUGGUCAUAUUGUGGCAGAUCCUGGGUAUCCGGUGAUUGGUGUUACACAAAUAAUCAUUAUGGAAAUGGACUGAAGCCAUGUGAUGCUGAUUACGAAUGUUAUAACUUUGUUGAUAAAUGCAUUUCAGCCUGUGGCAGAUAAAAUACUAGUUUUUCAUUUAAAUUAAAAUCUUUAAAUAUUUUUUGAAAAAUAAAAUACUUUAACUUAUCUUAAA